AAGGAUUUCUUCGGAAUGAAUUUGAUUAAGUUUAGUGGCGGACGGGUGAGUAACGCGUGAGUAACCUGCCUCUAAGAGGGGAAUAACAUUCUGAAAAGAAUGCUAAUACCGCAUAACAUAUAUUUAUCGCAUGGUAGAUAUAUCAAAGAUUUAUCGCUUAGAGAUGGACUCGCGUCCGAUUAGUUAGUUGGUGAGGUAACGGCUCACUAAGACCGCGAUCGGUAGCCGGACUGAGAGGUUGAACGGCCACAUUGGGACUGAGACACGGCCCAGACUCCUACGGGAGGCAGCAGUGGGGGAUAUUGCGCAAUGGGGGAAACCCUGACGCAGCAACGCCGCGUGAAGGAUGAAGGUCUUCGGAUUGUAAACUUCUUUUAUUAAGGACGAAGAAAGUGACGGUACUUAAUGAAUAAGCUCCGGCUAACUACGUGCCAGCAGCCGCGGUAAUACGUAGGGAGCAAGCGUUGUCCGGAUUUACUGGGUGUAAAGGGUGCGUAGGCGGCUUUGCAAGUCAGAUGUGAAAUCUAUGGGCUCAACCCAUAGCCUGCAUUUGAAACUGCAGAGCUUGAGUGAAGUAGAGGCAGGCGGAAUUCCCCGUGUAGCGGUGAAAUGCGUAGAGAUGGGGAGGAACACCAGUGGCGAAGGCGGCCUGCUGGGCUUUAACUGACGCUGAGGCACGAAAGCG
rnacentral:rRNA from 1 species